rnacentral:rRNA from 1 species
UACGGAGGGUGCAAACGUUGCUCGGAAUCAUUGGGCGUAAAGCGCACGUAGGCGGACUGCUAAGUCGGACGUGAAAUCCCUCAGCUUAACUGAGGAAGUGCAUUCGAAACUAGCAGUCUUGAGUACAGGAGAGGGCCGCGGAAUUCCCGGUGUAGAGGUGAAAUUCGUAGGUAUCGGGAGGAACACCAGUGGCGAAGGCGGCGGCCUGGACUGAUACUGACGCUGAGGUGCGAAAGCGUGGGGAGCAAACAGG